rnacentral:rRNA from 1 species
AACGAACGCUGGCGGCGUGCCUAAUACAUGCAAGUCGAACGAGAAAGCGUAGCAAUACGUUAGUAAAGUGGCAGACGGGUGAGUAAUACAUAGGUAAUCUACCUUCGAGAUGGGGAUAACCUUCCGAAGGAGGGCUAAUACCGAAUGAGACCACAGAGAUUAAUUUCUCAGGGGUUAAAGGUGACCUCUAUUUAUAAGUUAUCGCUUGAAGAUGAGCUUAUGCACCAUCAGCUAGUUGGUAGGGUAAUGGCCUACCAAGGCUUGACGGUUAGCUGAUCUGAGAGGUUGAUCAGCCACACUGGAACUGAGACACGGUCCAGACUCCUACGGGAGCAGCAGUAGGGAAUAUUGCGC